GACGAACGCUGGCGGCGCGCCUAACACAUGCAAGUCGAACGAGCGAGCGAGACCUUUCUUUCUUGAUCGAGUGGCGAACGGGUGAGUAACGCGUGAGUAACCUGCCUCUAAGAGGGGGACAACAUUUGGAAACUACUGCUAAUACCGCAUAAGCGCACGGGCCCGCAGGGCAGGGAUGGAAAAGUAGCAAUGCGCGUUGAGAUCGCCCCGCGUCCGAUUAGCUAGGUGGGGAGGUAACUGCCCACCAAGGCGACGAGCGGUAGCCGGACGGAGAGGUUGCCCGGCCACAUUGGGGAUGCGACCCGGACCAGACCCCUACGCGGGGGAGCAGUGGGGAAUACUGCACGAGGGGGCAAACUCUGGCGCAGCGGCGCGGCGUGGAGGAAGAAGGUCUUCGGAUUGUGAACUCCUGUUGUUGGGGAAGAUAAUGACGGUACCCAAUAAGGAAGUGACGGCUAACUACGUG
rnacentral:rRNA from 1 species